rnacentral:rRNA from 1 species
GUCGAGGGGCAGCAGGGACUGUAGCAAUACAGUUCGCUGGCGACCGGCAAACGGGUGCGGAACACGUACACAACCUUCCUUGAACUGGAGAAUAGCCUCUCGAAAGAGAGAUUAAUACUCCGUAACAUAAUGAAAUGGCAUCAUUUUAUUAUUAUAGAUACGUCGGUUCAAGAUGGGUGUGCGGCUGAUUAGGUAGUUGGUGAGGUAACGGCUCACCAAGCCAACGAUCAGUAGCUGAUGUGAGAGCAUGAUCAGCCACACGGGCACUGAGACACGGGCCCGACUCCUACGGGAGGCAGCAGUAAGGAAUAUUGGCCAAUGGACGCAAGUCUGAACCAGCCAUGCCGCGUGAAGGAUGAAGGCCCUCUGGGUUGUAAACUUCUUUUAUCUGGGACGAAAUCCCCCUUUCUAGGGGAGUUGACGGUACCAGAGGAAUAAGCACCGGCUAACUCCGUGCCAGCAGCCGCGGUAAUACGGAGGGUGCAAGCGUUAUCCGGAUUCACUGGGUUUAAAGGGUGCGUAGGCGGGAAGAUAAGUCAGUGGUGAAAGCUUUCAGCUUAACUGAAAAAUUGCCAUUGAUACUGUCUUUCUUGAAUAUAGUUGAGGUUGGCGGAAUGUGUCAUGUAGCGGUGAAAUGCUUAGAUAUGACACAGAACACCGAUUGCGAAGGCAGCUGGCUAAACUAUUAUUGACGCUGAGGCACGAAAGCGUGGGGAUCAAACAGGAUUAGAUACCCUGGUAGUCCACGAUAC